CCUACGGGCGACAGCAGUGAGGAAUAUUGGUCAAUGGACGAGAGUCUGAACCAGCCAAGUAGCGUGAAGGAUGACUGCCCUAUGGGUUGUAAACUUCUUUUAUCUGGGAAUAAAAUGUUCCACGUGUGGGAUUUUGUAUGUACCAUAUGAAUAAGGAUCGGCUAACUCCGUUCCAGCAGCCGCGGUAAUACGGAGGAUCCGAGCGUUAUCCGGAUUUAUUGGGUUUAAAGGGAGAGUAGGUGGAUUGUUAAGUCAGUUGUGAAAGUUUGCGGCUCAACCGUAAAAUUGCAGUUGAAACUGGCAGUCUUGAGUACAGUAGAGGUGGGCGGAAGUCGUGGUGUAGCGGUGAAAUGCUUAGAUAUCACGAAGAACUCCGAUUGCGAAGGCAGUUCACUGGACUGCAACUGACACUGAGGCUCGAAAGUGUGGGUAUCAAACAGGAUUAGAUACCCCUGUAGUG
rnacentral:rRNA from 1 species